GACGAACGCUGGCGGCGUGCCUAAUACAUGCAAGUCGAGCGAAUUAAUGGGAGCUUGCUCCCUGAUAUUAGCGGCGGACGGGUGAGUAACACGUGGGUAACCUGCCUGUAAGAUUGGGAUAACUCCGGGAAACCGGAGCUAAUACCGGAUAACAUUUUGAACCGCAUGGUUCGAAAUUGAAAGAUGGUUUCGGCUAUCACUUACAGAUGGACCCGCGGCGCAUUAGCUAGUUGGUGAGGUAACGGCGCACCAAGGCAACGAUGCGUAGCCGACCGGAGAGGGUGAUCGGCCACACUGGGACUGAGACACGGCCCAGACUCCUACGGGAGGCAGCAGUAGGGAAUCUUCCGCAAUGGACGAAAGUCUGACGGAGCAACGCCGCGUGAACGAUGAAGGCCUUCGGGUCGUAAAGUUCUGUUGUUAGGGUAGAACAAGUACCAGAGUAACUGCUGGUACCUUGACGGUACCUAACCAGAAAGCCACGGCUAACUACGUGCCAGCCGCCGCGGUAA
rnacentral:rRNA from 1 species